CCUCUUCUUCUUCUUCUUGUUGUUCUUCUCCUUCUUCUUUUCCUUCUUCUUCUAAUUAUUUUCUUCUUUUACUUUUUUCUUUUUCAUUUUUUCCUUCUUCUUUUCCUCUUUUUUCUUCUAACCUAACUAACUAACCUAAUUAGCCUAAUAAUCUAACCUUAUAAACUAACUAAAUUAACCUAUAAUAAAAACUAAACUAAUAAACUAACUAAAGUAAUUAACUUAAUAAAAAGGAAAAA
rnacentral:lncRNA from 1 species